rnacentral:lncRNA from 1 species
AGCGUAUAGAAGAUCUUUAUCUAUACUAUCUAUAAUAUAUAUAUAAAAGCGUAUAGAAAAAAUCUUACAAUGACAGAUGGAAUAAAAAUAAAAAUAAAAGAAUAUUCCCUACUUUUAUGAUCAAUUUGUUAGAAAAUAUUUCAAAUAAGAACGAACUGUUAUGAUCAAUUUGUUAAAAAAUAUCUUAAAUAAAAAUAAAUGAUUAUGAUCAAUCUAUUAAAAUAGCAUACAUAUACAUCUAUUUUACAUUAAAACUAACACUACAACAAAAACGGCCUAUAGCGACACUUUUAAAUAUAGAUACAUAUCAAAAAAGUGCUGCUAGCUAAAAUUACCGACACUUUUAAAAAGUGUUGCUAUAUGUAGGGUCGCUAGGUAUAUAGUAACAGUUAAAGAGUGUCGCUAUAACUUAAAAGAGUGCUGCUAAUUUACCAACACUUAUUUAAGCAUUUAGCAACCGCCGAAACUCUAUCUCGUUGGCUGCGGUGGCGGAGGAGGACGACAGGAAAGGCUCUUCGUCUAGAAUUUCAAUGGAUUGAGUGAAGAGAGAAGAAAAGAUGGCAAUUGAUUUUUUUUUUUUUUUUUUUUGUAAUCGGGCCAAAUGGAUUGAGUGUGGUGGGUUGAGUAGAGUAAUUUUUUAUUUUUAGUUGGAUUGGGCUUUAUAUUUAGGCAUUAGCAGAUAUUUUUUUAAGUUUUAGCAUAAAUGGGACACUUACUCAAAAGUGUCCCAAACAUGUGUCCCUAUAGCCUAAUUAUGUUGUAGUGUAAAUUUAUUUUUAAAAUCAUAAUAAAAUCCAUCAAGUGGGUAUAAAAUAAAUGGUCGAAAUUGCACGACCUCCUAAAAAUUAAGGAUUAGAUUCUAUAAUUUAAGAUCGGAGUUAGAGAUCACUCUCUCGAUAGUGAAUAAAAUUUUCUAGCAAAAAUUCAAUCGAUUUUAAUUCUUUUACACCGUUAAACUAGCGAGCAUUCCAUAUCGACCGUUAAAAAAUGUCAACUUUGAGAUCUUUUGAUCGUAAGGUAGAUAAUGCCGAAAAAUUAUGAUAUUUAAUUUCUAAAAGUUUUAAAUGCUUUAAAUUAUGUUUAACGAUAAAAAUCACCAAUUCAAAUACUCUAUCAUUGAAACAACUAAUGAGUACGAAGUCAAUCGUACUCAUAAGAGUAUAUCAGCUGAACUCAUUGCAGAUAUUUCUAAUAAAAUAUAAUAUACAAAUUUAUAAAAUAUAAUUUUUAUUAUAAAUUUUUGGAUAAAUAUGAUUUACAAAUUUAUAUUGAUAUGAAUUAAAUUAAAAUAAUUGUUACGUACAUUUGCACGUAAACUCAAUUAGUUUU